ACACUAAAGCCGACUCUUCUUCUUCUUCUCUCUACCCAAGCAGUCAAACACUCUUUGUCUCAGUAAACUCGAAUUGUGGGUUCAAGCUUCAAUAAAUCAGAAGAUUCAGCACUGGGGUCUCUUUCCAUGGCGAUAAUGAUGAGAAGAAGAAGUGUUCACGUUUUUUUGUUUGUGUUUUUGUAAUUUGGAAGUUAAACUUAUUUGUCGUUAAAAAUUGGUUAUGUAUGUUUAUUAAUUGCUGAAAUUUUCACUUGUGCUUGAUUUUUGUAAAAUUUUGAUGUUUAUAACU